rnacentral:rRNA from 1 species
CCCUAUGGGGUGCAGCUCGACAUCUUUUCCGUCAAUCUGCUGGUAGUGGGGCAGGACGGUAGGGGGUGUCACGUUCUGCCCAUUCACGAAGGAUGGAGUCGUCCAGACGACCUUCUUGCCCUGGGCUAACAGGGACCGCACAACUCCAACGCCCUCGAUGGUGGCGUCGUAAUCUACGACGAGAACCGUCGUCCCCGUGACGGCACCCUGAAGGACGUCGAGGGUAUGGAACACAUGGUCGCUCGGCAUUCCAGGAACAUCCCCACUGAUGAUGGCCGACCCUGCGGCAAUAAUUGCGACGUCCGGAUGCUCCGCGGUGAUGAGCUCGGCCGUCGCCUCAGUUCCCGUCCGAACAUCCACAUGCUGCACGUCCAUCUCACGCAUGAGGAACCGGGCAACACCGGAGACCUCGCGUCUGCCGGGGAGC